AAAAAACCAAAACAAUAGAAACAAAAGAGAUGGCUACAGUGUUUACUACAGUAAACAAGCAUAAUAACUUACCAAGUGAUCUCCAUGGAGAGUCAAUUCUGGAUGAACGGAAAACAAAUGUAUCAAAGUUUAAGUUUUAUAGAAUAUAUAUAUAGGGCUUAUAGGAUGUGUCAAAGGGAAUUUCAAAAGUCUGAGAAGCCUAACAGGAAAAAAUAUCACUCAGCUGCAACAAAACUUGCAAAGACAGUGUGAGUGUCAUUGCUUUAGGCCCGUGACUGACCUCUCACAAUCUGCUUCUAGACCAGAUGUGCGGUACAAAUGGACGGUACCGCAUAUGAGAAGAGGAUACCUACUGCCUUUUGGGAAUGACCUAUAGCCAGCAUUACAAACGGGUGAGCUCUAUCCACUGCUUCAUGUGUCAAAUGAAAUGGCACUUUUUCAUUUUUCUCAAGUGUUUUUUCUAAAACUUUGCUUUUUGCUUUUGACCAUUCAGUGAAUCUUAUUCUGCGUCCAUGAGCUCUUGAAUCAUCAUGAGAACAAAACCCCAUAUGGGUAGCACACGGAGGCUGAGUUGGACACACUGAAAUAGAGGCUCUAAACUGUUAACACACAGACUUUUGAUCCAUUUCCCUGACUGUUUAACCAAAGAAGUGAGUUUAAUAGUACAGCAAACAGAAGGUGUUUAAACAGUGAAUAAACAUGGUAUGUUUCAACAGGUGGCAGAGAGCCAUAAGCAUUCUGCUGCAGAUCAAGCUCUGCCUAACAGAUGUGAUGUUCCAAAUUAAAUCUUGGAGAGUGGUUGGAUAGAGUGAAGCAGUGGUAAUCAGGAAAUAAUUCUCAUGCCUAACUUAAAAAGCUUGUUGUCUUCAGUGAGAGUAGCAGCAGUUAGUGAAGAACUAGAAUCCUCCUUUCUUAGCUGGAAUUUCAAAAACAACCAUUAUUUUAUUAUUAGUCAAACUGAGUUGGAGAAGCAAUGGAGAAGAAGCAGUUGAUGAGUGCUUUUCAGAACCUUGAUUCUCUUAGGUAUCUGACAUAAGACCAAUCUGAAGCAGAAAGAAAUUACAGCAAAAUGUUAUUCUGCUGAGAUUAAAAGGUACCCAACCAAUUAGAGUUAAUCUGGCUAAGCAAUAUAAGACUUUCAUCUUUGCUGCCUUGUCUUUUGUCAGGUUAUAGAAAAAGAGAUAAAUGUACUGUAUUUUUAUAUAUUUUUAUACAUAUUAAACAUUUUAAAAGAUAUAUAUAUAUAUAAUAUAUUUCAUAUUCUGAAUUUAUAUAGAUUGUAUAUAUGCACACAGAGGAGUACAAAAUGUGCAUUUUAAGCUGUGUGGUCAGUGUCAAGUUCUUUUUUUUUUCCUUCAAAGGUGUUCAUUCUGAAUUGGAAGAAACUCAGCCUUUUCAGAAAUAAUUUGGUCUGCAUCACCCUUCACACUUUAUUGCAGAAGUUUUAUUAUGAACUCGUCAACUACCAAUAUAAAUUCUCUAACAAUAUUUACUUAUCCUUACAGUUUUUGAGGAACUCAGUAGAGAUUUUUGUGUCCCUUUUAUGAUCCUUAUAUACUUUCUGCAAUGUAAAUCUGUCCAGUCAUCAACAGUUUUCUUUCAGUCACCGACAAAAAGAUGUCUUUGUACAAGCACACAGGCUCAACUUCAGAAACAGAAGCCCAUCCUAAGAAGAACUAUUUGUUUUGCUGAUGUGGAUGGUAUGCUGAUUUCUGACUGUAUUCCUUUCAGGAGUAGGAACAGUAAUCAUCUACAUCUAGUGUGCAAUAAAAUAGCACAGCAUUAUUGGAGCACAAGGCAUGUGGAAUACUUGAGGAAAUAACAUGACUUAUUAACAAGAGCUGAAAACAACAAAGUAGAAGACAGAAAGGAGUAAGUGAUUAAAGCCUAUAUACUCAAUUAUAUAUGGUUUGCAUACCAUUUAGUUGCCGUUUUGAUCACAUACAGCAAUACUUGUACACUGCAGGUUCCCUGGUGUUAUUCCUGCAGACCACUGCCUUGCACAAACUAGUCCUGAUCAAAAAUACCAAGCAGUCUGCCAGAUAACCUGAUUUCAUGGUGGCUGUAACAAAUGUACUCAGUGCUUCUCGUGCUCUUUGAUAUCAGUCAGAGUGCACUCAUUAAUUUUUUCUAAUCAUUCUUGAUACUUAACUAUUCAUAAAUUGAUUGAAGUCAUUUUUUACCUCACUACCACGUUUUCUACUACUAUAGCUCUGCUGGCUUGUUCUAAAUUCUUAUGGAAUGAAAUCAGAAGUUUUGUUUAGGAGAAAACAAUAAACACGAAUACUAAUUUCAAAGCAGAAAACUGCAUUUCAUCUGUGAAACAAGAUUUGAAGCAGUUGUUCUUGCUAAUUAACACUGUCUUCUAUAGCAGUGGGUAUUUGAUGGGUUUGUGUUAUUCUCUACUAUUGUAAAAGUAUUUAAAUGAAAAAUUUUAGUUUUAGUGUAUAAAAAUGAUAGAUUGCAGAAAAGAUAUAGCAUAAUGGAUUAAUCAUCAUAGAGAGUUCAAAGUUCCAGUUGAAUUCCCUGCCAUAGAAUGUAAUGAUUUAUGUACUUUUCCGAAGUGUUUAGUCUCUGAAUUGUAUAGCAUAUUGAACUUAUUUUGUUUUUACUGCUGCAUUUAGUAAUAUUUAACUGUGGUCAACACAGAAAGAUGAAAGAAAAUUGACUUCUGACUUUCUCCUGCAAGAAAGGAAAUUGUCUUGCCUUCAAGGAUAUGAAUUAUAAGCAACAUGCAACAGCAGUGAACACUGGUUAGCCGAAGCUCGCCUGAUCUGCUCACUACAAAUGUGAGGCAUUGUCUUUCAGAGCUGCUGUCUUGAUGUGAUUUCAGUAAAGAACAUGCCUUCUGUUU